GAAUGUGAGGGCGAUCCAGCUGCGACAUCUGUCACCCCAUUGAUCGCCAGGGUUGAUUCGGCUGAUCUGGCUGGCUAGACGGGUGUCCCCUUCCUCCCUUACCGCUCCAUGCGUGUCCCUCCCGGAGCUGUGUGCUCGAAGAGGACGACCUUCCCCGAUAGAGGAGGACCGUUCUUCGGUCAAGGGUCUCUGAGUAGCUGCGCUCCCUGCUAGACCCUCCAGACGAGCUCUCCAGGAAUUUAAGGGGCUGCAGUCUGGAGCAGUAGUGAAGCCAAACUUUCCAGUAGUGAUUGAAGUUUUUCUUCUCUUUGUUCUUU
rfam:Ailuropoda melanoleuca scaffold1680_74, whole genome shotgun sequence.